rnacentral:rRNA from 1 species
GACGAACGCUGGCGGCGUGCUUAACACAUGCAAGUCGAACGGAAAGGCCCUGCUUUUGUGGGGUUCUCGAGUGGCGAACGGGUGAGUAACACGUGAGUAACCUGCCCUUGACUUUGGUAUAACUUCAGGAAACUGGGGUUAAUACCGGAUAGGAUCUCCUGCUGCGUUGUGGGGAUUGGAACGUUUCGGCUGUUGGGGAUGGACGCGCGGGUUAAGAGCUUGUUGGUUGGGUAGUUGCUUACCCAGGCUUUGAAGGAUAGCCGGCCUGGGAGGGUGGACGGGGACAAGGGGACUAAGAGAGGCAGCAGACGCCAACGGGAGGCAGUAGGGGGGAGUAUUGCACAGUGAGAGCAAGUGGGAUGAGGAGGCGUCGGGUGCGGAAUGACGGCCUUCGGGGUAUAAACAGCUUUCGCCUGUGACGAAGCGGGAGUGACGGUAAUGAGUAAAGAAGCACCGGCUAACUACGUG